rnacentral:rRNA from 1 species
UAAGUUUGAUGGCGACCGGCGCACGGGUGAGUAGCACGUAUCCAACCUGCCGAUGACUCGGGGAUAGCCUUUCGAAAGAAAGAUUAAUACCCGAUGGCAUAGUUCUUCCGCAUGGUAGAACUAUUAAAGAAUUUCGGUCAUCGAUGGGGAUGCGUUCCAUUAGGUUGUUGGCGGGGUAACGGCCCACCAAGCCUUCGAUGGAUAGGGGUUCUGAGAGGAAGGUCCCCCACAUUGGAACUGAGACACGGUCCAAACUCCUACGGGAGGCAGCAUG